UCUUCUUCUCUUUCUAUACCUUCCUCUCUCUUUCACUCUCAUGUUUACCAUAGACUGACUGACUGACUGAGGUUUUCCGACAUUGACGCGUAUAAGGAAGUUCAGUUGACUCAGUGACGGAUCGGUUCAGGAUCAAAUGGGAUAGGAGAGGAGAGAAUAUUUGGUUCAAUCUUGAAAUUUGGUAAUUCACCGGGAAUUUGCAGAGAUUGAAAGAAAAGAUUGAAGGUUUGAAAUGGAUUCAAGAACCAAUUCAGGAGAUGGAUUUUCAACCCCACAAGGGAGAGGGGUAGAGUUGAUGGGUUCUUGGGUGCCACCAACUCCAGAAAAGCCAAUUCCUGCAAGAUAUAAUUCCAUGCCAAUUGACAGGGAUGGGAAUCAUCAACUGAGUAGAGGGAAUUGGCAAGAACUGGCAACAAUUCCCACAGGAUAUGCACAGGAGAUGUUGAAUUCUGGCAGGGUUGCACAACAUUUAGGCCAUAAUCAAAUUGGCCAAUUGGGCGGAAAUGGGUGUUUGGCAGAGAGGAACAGAAUGAUAAAUCACAUUGCAGGGUCCUACACACAGACACUUCGUCAAGAAAGUGGAAAUCUGAAUACUAAUUCAUUUGUUGAUCUCUUGACAAUGAAUAAUUCAGUUUCUUUUGUCAGUCCACACAUAAAUGUAAAUAGAAGUAUGAGCAUGGGAGAAAGGUCUUUGAUUCCAAAUUUUCACUCCCAAGUUAACAGCGUGAUAGAAUCCAGACCUGGAGGAUUGCUAUUCCCUCACCAAACUCACUGCUCGAGUUCAAACCAGGCGAGUAGCCAUAGUAGCUUACUGAAGAUUCCUCAGUAUGGAUUUCACAUACCUUACAAUCAUAACUAUGGCCUCAAUUCACUACCAAGCAUAGAAGCUGAUGCAGCAACAACUACAACCAACUCAUUCCAAUUCGCACCAGUAACGCCGCAACAGACCAAGAAGUUAGAGACCCAGCUCCCUGCAGCUGUAAAUUCUCCACAGGAAAAAGCCUCAAGUGAAGGAACAGACAAAUUUUGUGAUUUAUUUGCAUCAGUGAACUACAUCCCAGAACAGCACAAUUCUGAUGUGCUCUUGCAUAACAUUGUGGACACGUCAUCAGCUGUUGUUUCUACACCAUUUAACGAACCAAAAGAUUCUGGCAAGCUAAGUGACCAGGUUAUUGACCUGAACAAAACACCUCAGCAGAAACAACCAAAACGAAAGAAGCACAGGCCUAAAGUAGUUAAGGAAGGAAAACAGACCAAGACUCCCAAGACUGCAACAGCUAAAAUGGCUGAUCCCAAGGAGAAGACAACUGAAAAGAGAAAGUAUGUGCGCAAGAAGGACUCAAAAGAGUCAAUAACUCAACAUCCAGAUUCUGUUGGAGAGACUUCCAAUUUGGAAAAGAACCUGAAGAAAAGGAAGUAUGUUCAAAAUGACCUACAAGAACUAGCAACUCUGAAUGCAGAUGAUAUAGGUGAGACUGCGGAUCCCACUUCUGGAACUGCAGCAACAUCAUGUAGAAGAGCAUUGAACUUUGAAAAGUUGGAAAAUAUCAGAGAAGGGAAGAGAAAUUCAUUUGCGCAGCAGGAGAUGCUGAAUAAAAAAGGGUCUUGCAAUUCUGGUAAAUCUUUUCAAGCUGCAGAUUCAAUCAACAAAACUAACAUGAAGUUCAGAACAAAGUCAGAUUUGCAGAUGAGACAAGAUGGUGAGACACUGUUAGAAAACCACCAUUCAAGAGCAACACAUAACCUGGCCUCUUCUAGCAACCAAUUUCUGUGCAAUGACAACACAAUUUCAAACAGAAUAGGAGCCAGAGCCAUUCCAAAAUCAGACAGAAGAGAAGCUGCAGUUCAACUAGCUUCAACAAAAGAAGUGCAAAUAGGCAAUUCAAAUGUCAAUGCUAAAGCAACAGAUAUCAGAAUGCAGCAUCCCUGUGCAGAAGGAAUUGACCAAAUUUCCUUUCCAGCAAACAUUAUUUGCAAAAACCUGGAGAGAACCAGACAAAUGAUGCCACAGAAUACUCAAUCAGUUGCGGAGAUUUCACAACAUUUAAUCGAUGGUAGGGGAUACAAGAAAGAAUUUGGUCAUUUUGAGCAGACAAGCCACUGCACUGCAAAUCCACCAGAUUAUCAAUUAUACAGCUGCAUCAAGUCUAAUGCAAUUUGUGCAGAUACUCAAAAGAAGAGGAAGAUUGAAAAUGGGAUCCUGACAAAUAUAAACGGUUUGCUACCUUCUGAUGCAGCUGUCAACCAUUCAAUGCUAAAUAUAAGCAGCAGAAAAAAUCUCCAUACAACUGAAUCUACAGCAUACAGGAAUAGGGAAACAUGGAACUCACACACGGAAAGCUAUAAUUUCAGGACGAAAGAAAAUAGUGGGUCCACCAGAUUUCCUGUUGACUUGUACAUACAUCAAGUGGCUUCUGGACAAGAUGUGUCAAAGCAACCUGUAUUAUCAGGAUCCACUGCAUGCAUGGAAAAGAUUGAAGACACCAAAAGAUCCAUGAACAUCCAAAACCUUGCUGCCCUAGCCACAGUUGAGAACUUUAACAUGCUUCCACCUAGUCCUCAAAAAACAGGCCCUCAACCUGUAGACCAACUACAUCCUAAAACUUCCAACAUCAAUGUGUCAAUAAAGCAGGCAGUGGGGUCUUCUCAAUCCAAAUCUGUUCCAUUUAGAGAAGGCAAAAUGCGAAAAAUACGUAUGGACAUCUUGCAAGAUCACCAAUCACCUGCUAAAAGGAGAGGGGGACCACCAAAGUCCACCUCAAUUGAAGAAAUUACAUAUCGAAUGGAGUGUCUCCAUCUCAAUGAAAGGAGCAAUGACAUGGACGGCAAAGAGCAAAAUGCAGUUGUGCCAUACAAAGGAGCAGGGACACUCGUUUCAUAUGAACGUUCUGACUUUGUCAAGAAGCAUAAGCCAAGGCCUAAAGUAGACCUUGACCCAGAGACAGAGAGAGUGUGGAAGCUAUUGAUGUGGAAAGAAGGAUGUGAAGACGUUGAAGGAAUAGAUGAGGUGAAAAGGAAGUGGUGGGAGGAAGAGAGGAGAAUUUUCCGUGGACGAGCUGAUUCAUUCAUUGCAAGAAUGCAUCUUGUACAAGGAGAUAGGCGCUUCUCAAAAUGGAAGGGAUCAGUUGUUGAUUCAGUGAUAGGAGUCUUCCUUACUCAAAAUGUUUCAGACCACCUUUCAAGCUCCGCCUUCAUGUCUCUAGCUGCAAGAUUUCCUCGUAAGUCAACAAGAAACAUAACCUGUGAGAGAGAUGGGGCAAUAAUUCUGUUUGACUCAAUCAAAUGGAAUGAGAAGUUGUUACAACACCCUUUCUAUAAGCAGAACUCUACGACGCACUGCGAAUCAACAGAAUAUCAAAGAGACUCUGAGACCUCAUGGACAGACAGGACAAGCAUUGUAGAGUCUCGUAGUCAUAGCCCUCCAGAAGUUUUUUCAUCACAAGAUUCCUUUGAUUCCUCAGUUAUUCAAAGCAAUGGUGGAGUCAGAUCCUACUCAGGCUCCAACUCAGAAGCAGAAGAUCAUGCAAAUGAGUACAGACAUAGCAAGAGUCCCAGUACAUUUUUAACAAAGCAUCCGCAAGUUGAGACCACCACCUUGUAUGAAGAGUUAUAUAGACCUGUUAGUGGAAGAACACUGUUUCACAUGCAAUCCAGGCACGGACAAAUGCAACCAGAAUAUACAGGAAAUAGGCAGCAGCAAUGCCCAGGAUUGGAAAGAUUGGAUAAAAGCUUACAUGGCUCUUCUGCGUUUUAUCAGCAAAUUAUUUACAAUAAUCCUCAGAUGCAAGUACCAGUACUUCCUUCUUGUAACUAUCAGUUGUGCACAACUGCACAAUCUGAGAUGGUAGAAGUGGAUUGUGUUGGACCGAACAGAGAAAAGAGCAUAUCUUCUUGGCCUUCAAGUGCCUCCAGAUUCAACAAGGAAAAAGAUGCAAGUUGCACGAGCAAAAGGGUUGUACAAGGGGCACAGGAUGCAGCUGUAUCCACAACACAAAAAUACAGGUCAUCAAGCUGUCAAGAAACACAAACAAUGGACUUUUAUUCUUUCCUACGCAUGCAAAUGAUGCAUGAACAAAGCAAUCCUGAAACUUGCCAUGGAUUCCAACAGCCGAAGGUAACAAAGAAUUCCCAAUUGAAAAGCAAAUCGAUGGUUGAAACAGCAAAUCUUGCUGAUGCACAAUUUAAUGGGCAAAGUAGCUACAAGCAGCACAACUCAAACGUUCCCAUUCCCACAGGCAAAGCUUUUGAUGCUGAAGAGAGAAUUGCUUUGGUGGAUGAGCAAGCGCACUCAGAAAAUGAAUUAGCUGAAUCAAAUUUGAAGGAAGAAGUACAUUUUACUAAUAAAGAGAACUUAAAAACAACUUCUUCAAGAGCAAGAAAAGCAAAAGCCAGGGGUCAGAAAAAGGAUGCAACUGACUGGGAUAGUUUAAGGAAGCAGGUACUGGCAAAUGGUAGAAGAAAAGAAAGAAGCCAAAAUACAAUGGAUUCCCUGGACUAUGAAGCACUGAGAUGUGCUAAUGUCAACGAGAUUGCCAAAACUAUAAAAGGAAGAGGGAUGAACAACAUGCUAGCAGAACGUAUCCAGGAAUUUCUGAACCGACUGUUCAGAGUACAUGGAAGCAUUGAUCUGGAAUGGUUAAGAGACGUCCCCCCUGACAAAGCAAAGGAUUACCUUCUAAGUAUGAAAGGAUUAGGGUUGAAAAGCGUGGAGUGUGUGCGACUCUUAACACUUCAUCAUCUAGCUUUCCCUGUUGACACAAAUGUUGGACGGAUAGCAGUUAGACUGGGAUGGGUACCUCUUCAACCAUUGCCAGAGUCACUUCAAAUACACCUCCUAGAACUGUACCCAGUACUCGAGUCAAUUCAGAAAUACCUCUGGCCAAGAUUGUGCAAACUUGAUCAACAAACAUUGUAUGAAUUACAUUACCAGCUGAUUACUUUUGGAAAGGUCUUUUGUACAAAGAAGAAACCAAAUUGCAAUGCAUGUCCAAUGAGAGCAGAAUGCAGGCAUUUUGCUAGCGCCUUUGCAAGUGCAAGGCUUGCGCUACCUGGGCCAGAAGAGAAGAGUAUGUUGACUUCAACUGUUCCUUUAGAAAUGGAGAAAGGCUCUGGCAUAGUUAUUAAUCCCAUGCCAUUACCUCCAUCCGAGAAGAAUCCACCUAAAACAGGAGUAUCAGAUAUUGUCAGUUGUGUACCUAUCAUUGAAGAGCCAGCAACACCUGAGCAAGAACACACUGAAGUAUCAGAAAGUGAUAUAGAAGACAUAUUCAAUGACAAUAGCGAUGAAAUACCAAUAAUAAAACUCAACAUAGAAGAGUGGACAAUGAAUUUGCAGAAUUACAUGCAAGCAAACAUGGAAGUUCAAGAAUGCGACAUGUCCAAGGCUUUAGUUGCUUUGAAUCCAGAAGCUGCCUACAUCCCUGCAAUCAAACUGAAGUAUAUCAGCCACCUUCGGACAGAGCACCAAGUAUAUGAACUUCCAGAUUUACAUCCUCUCCUGAAAGAGAUGGAUAGAAGAGAACCUGAUGAUCACAGUCCAUACCUUCUUGCAAUAUGGAAACCAGGUGAAACUGCAAAUUCAAUUCAACCGCCAGAACAACAUUGCCAGUCCCAGGAACUAGACAAAUUAUGCAACAAAAAGACAUGCUCAUCGUGCAACAGUAUCAGAGAAGCUAAUUCACAAACAGUCAGAGGAACAUUUCUGAUACCUUGUAGAACAGCAAUGAGAGGAAGCUUUCCGCUCAAUGGCACCUACUUUCAAGUGAAUGAGAAAAUUUUUCCAUGCAGGUAUUUGCAGACAAUGAAUCUAGCCUAAACCCAAUUGAUGUUCCAAGAGCAUGGAUAUGGAAUUUGCCAAGACGAAUAGUUUACUUUGGAACCUCUGUAUCCACAAUAUUUAGAGGACUUUCAACAGAAAGAAUUCAGCACUGCUUCUGGAAAGGAUUUGUUUGUGUGCGAGGAUUUGACCAAAAAACAAGAGCACCCAGACCUCUUGUUAGGAGAUUCCACUGUCCAGCUAGCAAAGCAAAGACAGAAUGAAAACUAAUGACAACCAGCCCACAGUUAUCUUCUUAUGGCCUGAUUGCACUUUCGAGCAAGCAAGCAAGCCAAUGAAGUACAAUGACAAGCAGGCCAUGAUGCAGAGAUGAUGGAUAGCUAAAGUUCUAACAAGCAGAAGGUAGGUGACCUAGUGAAGAAAAGAGAUCAUUGACUAACAUAUUGUUGUGCAUUCAAUUGUUUAGUGACUUGUCCAAAAAAAGAAGCUUUCAGUAUUGUGAGAUACCAUGACAAGUGGGAUUUAGGCACAAAUGCAUUAUAAUCAUUAUGUAGAUUCAUGCUCGAAGGAGCAAUUUUGCAUAAACUAGCCAAGAUAAAGGUACAAUUGCUGCAAGCAUGCAUGUACAAUUGCUAAGACUUUGUUGAAAGCAAUAGAAUUGAUAAGAUGCUGUCAUUAUUUUUUA